rnacentral:lncRNA from 1 species
GAUGCCUGGAUCGCCCUGGGCUUCUAGAGGAACCGACUCAUUCUGCUCCCCCCCCUCCCUUUCUAACCCCCUUUUGUGGUCCACAGGGUUGUUUUAAGCAAAACCAAACAACCCCUCCAAAAAAAAAAAAAAAAAAAAAUGCAAACGAAAAAUUCCGGGUAAAAGCAACUAUGCCGAGACCACGUUUUCGUUGAAGCUGCCCUAAGACCAAAGAAGCCGAGACCGACCUUGAAGGAUUAGCGAUUUCUGUAACUGAAAUGUUCUAAUUUUACUGACGUUUGGUGGAGACGGUGAGAAAGAAUACAUGAGAGUUUGGCUUGGAAAAGGACAAAACAAACGAAUAAUCAUAUCUAACUUGGUUAACUGAAAAAGCUAACAGCUGUAGUCCUGUCUUCUAGGUAGUGGUGUUUUGGGUUUCCUUGCUAAAGGUGGAGGGAAGGUGGUAGAGAGAAUGUAUUAACUAAUGGAAUAAAAUGGGACAGUAAUACAGGCAUGAAAUCCCACUGGAAAGAGCAAUAAGAACCUACUCUCCUCGCUCAAAUAAUCGGAAAGCAAAGCACAUGCUGAGAAAAUUACAAUAUACAAAAGUUAAGCGGGAUCCCUGGGUGGCGCAGCGGUUUGGUGCCUGCCUUUGGCCCAGGGCACGAUCCUGGAGACCUGGGAUCGAAUCCCACGUCGGGCUCCCAGUGCAUGGAGCCUGCUUCUCCCUCUGCCUCUGUCUCUGCCUCUCUCUCUCUCUGUGUGACUAUCAUAAAUAAAUAAAAAUUUAAAAAAAAAAUUUAAAAAAAAAAAAAAAAAAACAAAAGUUAAGCCACAGAUUAUUAAUUUUCUUGUUAAAAUCUAAUAUCUAUGGGUUAAAAUAUUGUUCUUUUCCUUCCAAUUUUCCCAUGAAAGUUUGAAAUACAACCUAUUAAAAGCCAACAGACUUAAUGGCAUUUACAAGUACGUAAAACAGGUUUUGCUGAUUUUUUUUAAAUAAUCUUACAGAUAAAUUAAGGAUAUCAGAGAGUUUGAUUUUAUGUAUAUAUAACUGAUUAGAGGUGGAAUAUUCAAACAAAUUCAUUUUGAAAACAAUACAAUUCAAGUAACUUGCCACAGAGUGGCCUUAUCAGAGUGACUAUGCAAUGUAAUAUGAAGUUGCAAGCUUUGGAUUUUGAAUUGAGCCAUGGAUAUACAAAUAUAAAUAUGCAAAUAAAUUACUGUUUUCAAAAAUCAAACUAGGGUGGAUAUAAAGUUAAGAAAGCAGAGUCUGUGGUGUAAAGGGAAGUCAAAGUAUUUAAAGCACUUGUAACCGGAAAAGCCUGUAUGAACCAGAAGAUAUCUAGAUUCACUAUAGUAAAUAGUUAACAUUUCUCUAAAAUAUGACUUCAGUAGUUAAUAUUUUGUCUUUGGAGGCAUAUACUGUUACCACUCUUUAUAAAAUGGAAAGACAAAGAGAUUUAGGCAAAGUAUACUGAGUCUAGCACUAGAAGACUCAAUGUGGAAAAUAUCUCCCCCUUUUUAUAUAUAUUCCAAAUUCUUGGAUCCCUUGUAUAAAUAAGUUUGGAUUUUUAUUGUAUAUUUAAUUAGGGAAUUGUACAGAGUAUCUUCUCUUUCAUAUGACUUUCAGUAGAACCUGUUUCAUAAUAAGACAAUUCUA